rnacentral:ncRNA from 2 species
UAAUGUUCUCAGGGCGGGGUGAAAGUCCCCACCGGCGGUAAAGGUUUCGGCCCAAGCCCGCGAGCGCUUCUCAGUUACGGGAAGGUCAGCAGAUCCGGUGUGAUUCCGGGGCCGACGGUAUAGUCCGGAUGGAAGAGAACGAGC